CAAUUACGGCCGUAAUACAAAAACGACGAAGGCCCGCCCGCUAGAACAUCGUGUCGCAUCCUGCUGCACGGGUACCUUUGUGUUUACAGUGGCUACGGUUUUAUCAUUUGUGUGUUAGUAGGGAACGCGAACGGGACGCUAGGAAACACUUUCUUUUAUAGUGGUGCCGCGGACGCGAUCGGCAUGUGUCUGAUCGCCGUGAAUCCGCUGCAGCUGCUUGUCGCGCGUGGAGCCGCGAAUUCGCGAUGAAAAUUCGCGAUGCGUGCAUCCGCUAUGACUCGAUCGUCCAGAUUCGAUGUGACUUGCCGCGAAAUCGCGACAAAACUUCGCCGUGAAUUCUCUGCAAGACUUCGUCUAGUAGACGUGAUCAUGAAGUCGUUGAGCAUGCAGCUGGCUGGCUAGUAAGCAUCGGUUCGUACAAACGGCUUUACUAGGUGUCGUUACUGCCGUUGACAGGCGCAGAAUACGAACAACGUGUAGGGACGUGAGUUUGCGUGAAGAGCGCACUACAAGUCGUCGUUUGUGUACAGUGUAGUCUUUGGUAGAAAGCAGAUAUGCAUGAGAAGUCUUCGUUGAUUACAGCUGUCAUUGGGAAGGUAUGCAUUAUGAAACUGAACACUAAUGUUGGUCCUAGGACCAACCGCAAUAUUUAAUAUAUUGAGAAGAGGCGGUACCAUCCCAGACCUGGGUCACGGCCGUUUCAACUAUGCGAGGCCGCGCAACUUAGUUGUUGCGCAUGCUCAGUUAAAAAUGACCGGUUUUUGCUCAAGUGACGUGAAUCGGCGUUUGCACACAGAUACUGCAGAAAGCGUAGGCUGUCUUUUAGGGUAUGACCACACAAUCGGGUAGUGUCGCUAUCUGAAGAAGAUCUCUGGAAAUCUCGAAGUCCUUUGUAGCAUGUGAAACGACACAUUUCUCGUCCUCCUGUUUUGCCGCAUUCUCCGGGUUUUGCGAGGACUUUCGCUGUAAUCCAGUUAUUUGUGCUUACUAGAAUUCAGUUCGUGGGAGAUCCUACCGAUGUACGCCUCGCCGUAAUGGAAGAAUCGAGACCCAAAGAUGACGGAGUCAGAUGCCAAUUGUAGUUUCUGCCUUUCGCUUUUUGACUAUUGGCCGAUGCCGUGUGACCUGAGGCAUGACCAUCUCUACUGCAGUAAUGCUAGUGGUGGGCUCUUGAUGUGCUUCUUAUAGCUGCUGGCACUGGAAACAGUCAUACAAGGGAGACUGAUGCAAAUGUUGAAUGGCACACUUCUUGCACAUUAAAUGGUUGCAUUGGAGUUCAACUGGGAUGUUGACAACUUUUCACACAGGGUGCACUUGAACGAGUCAAACAGGGCUUCUGGUGCUACUGUUUCUAUUUGUUGGAUUAGGUCAGUCAAUUUGAUUGCUGACUGACCUGUGAGAACAAGCUGAUUCUUUUUUCAAUAAUUGGGUGGUCUUCCUUCUUUCUUCUGUUGCUGACAACUACAGCAGGUGUUGCAGUUUUCUGAGUGUACCAUCCACUCUCUGCAGAAAGGUACAAGAAUAGAGGCUCCUUGCCUCUUUGUAAAUCAAUGCACCACUAGAUGGCAGCAGACACAGAAAUUGACAUUUGUACUGACAUCCUCUCGAUUGAACCUGGGGGCACAUAACCUGCGAAGCUCUCGUACGGAAAGGAUGUGAUGUGCCAUAUCCAUAGACUAGACUGACAACACUUGUAUACUGGUUAACUGUUUCUGUAUACGUCUUAAGUAGUGUAUGGAGUAAGGAAAGGGCAUGAGAGAAUGAUGAGGUAAAGAACUGCUACACGUGUACCAUUCAAGUUCAAGGAACCAGUGUUGGUACACCAUUAGCAAGUUUUUGUGGCAAAGUUUAUUUUACCAUAGAUAUGAUUUUACUUACAUUCCAAGUUGCUAAGAAUAAUAUCUCUAGGCACGUGACCUAGGCCAUCUUGUCAUAUUCUAGUGCUAUUUUAGUAUAAAAUGACCA